rnacentral:rRNA from 1 species
UACGUAGGGAGCAAGCGUUGUUCGGAUUUACUGGGCGUAAAGGGCGCGUAGGCGGCAAUUCAAGUCAGCUGUGAAAUCUCCGGGCUUAACUCGGAACGGUCAGCUGAUACUGCUUUGCUAGAGUGCGGAAGGGGCAAUCGGAAUUCUCGGUGUAGCGGUGAAAUGCGUAGAUAUCGAGAGGAACACCUGAGGUGAAGACGGGUUGCUGGGCCGACACUGACGCUGACAGCGCGAAAGCCAGGGGAGCAAAGCGGG